GCCAGUGAUGCUACACCCUACAUUUGGAGGUGCAGAUGACUCCAGGAUCCUGUUUACAGGAUGAACCUACCUGGAGGCGCUGUGUCUGCAUGACAUUCAUGGGCAAGUCUGAGGU